UACGGGGGGGGCAAGCGUUGUUCGGAAUUACUGGGCGUAAAGGGCUUGUAGGCGGCCAACUAAGUCCGACGUGAAAUCCCCAGGCUUAACCUGGGAACUGCGUCUGAUACUGGAUGGCUUGAAUUCGGGAGAGGGAUGCAGAAUUCCAGGUGUAGCGGUGAAAUGCGUAGAUAUCUGGAGGAAUACCGGUGGCGAAGGCGGCAUCCUGGACCGACAUUGACGCUGAGGAGCGAAAGCUAGGGGAGCAAACGGG
rnacentral:rRNA from 1 species